UCGAAAUUUACUGUGGUUGAGGCCCGAAACUCAUUAUAUUUCUCCAACAACUAAGAGGAGCCACGAGCAGUCCGUAUGGAUACAAACAAGGGACACGAGGAUAAGAACCUGAUUUGACCUAGCGUCUACUACGACACGGAGCAAGGAGAACUGAAGCUCUGAAUCAUGUGACUUUAGCCGGAGAAUCUGAGCGAAGGAAAAGAUAACCACACAGUCAUCGAAGAGACCCGGUUUUAUAAUCGAUAUUUUCACCUACACCUAUGAAUUAAAAUUUAACCAAUGAUAUUAAACUCUAAUAUUGUUAUAAUCGAUAGAAGCAGAUAAUUUAGAUAAAAAUAUGAAUAAAGGUAACAGAAAAAACAACACAAAAAUCUACUGUGGCUUACCAAUUUGAAAAUAUCUAGAGAUAAAUUUCUUAUUUUUACUAAAAUCUAAUUUUUAAAUUACAUCAAAACUAUAAAACAGAAAAAUAAAAAAAGUUUAUCGCAUCAAAGAAUAUAAAAUUGUGACAAUAAGCAUGAUAAAGACAUUUUCUCUUGUAAAAAAAUAUAGAACCAAUAUUUUAUUUUGCAAUAUAAUCUGGGAUACAAGUUCUAUAAAAAUCAUUAGUAAUUACUUUGGAAAAUAAUAUAUUUCCCUCACAAAAAAUAACAAAUUAAUUCUUCAGUCAUUUUCAAUAUAAACUUUCAAAAUUUCAGUUUCAAGGAUUAGUUUUUGUUUUGACACAACUGAAAGGAUUAUUUUGUGAUGAGCCACAGAGUGUUCAUUUGAAAAUACCAAACAGCUUUUGCUUAUUUUAAAGACACAAAUGUUGAUUUUUUUUCUAAUACUAAAAUCUUUGGAAAGAGGGACUCAAUACCUACUGGAAAACUUGAUUUUCCCCCUAAAAUUUGAUUUUUUCCUAAUUAAUUAUUUUGUUAUUAAUUGACCAAAUUUUUAUUGCAUUUUUGGAAACAUUGAAACAAAUUCUUCUUUUAUAUUGGUCAACAUUAUAAAUUUAUUGAAACUUUUCAACUUUCUUUUAAAAAAAUUGGGCCAAUAUUUUUCCAUCCCAAUCAACUUUAUAAAACUGUAAACAUGUUAUCUCCAAUAAAAUUAUUUUAAAAUAUUUGUUUUAUAUACCAAAAGAGCAAUUUAGUAAACAUAAAAUAAUUGAAUAUAAAAUAUAAAUAUCAGUAGCUAUGUACAGUAAAACCUCUAUAAAUUAAUAAUGUCUAAACUUUGGAAUUUUAUUAAUUUAUAGAGUUAUUAAUUUACAAAAAAUUUCUUAUUUAAAUUUAUUAUUUUAAGAUAUAUUUAUUCUAAGAGAAUAACUUAGUAAAUAAAUACGUUUGAGUUUGCAGCAUGUGGUACUUCUGAUUAUGAUGGUAUCACAACAGGAUCACCAUUAUCCAUGUAAUUAUAUUUCUCAUCACAUCCUCUUUCUAUUGAAAUCAUGUUCGUUCUUUGAGUUAUUCAAUCGAGACCAUAAUAAAGUUUAUUCAGUGAUGCAUGACCCUCUUUUGGGUUUAACCCUCUCAUGCAGCUACUAAUCAUAAUGAUUCAAACACUGUCCGUAUUUAAUGUUGAACCCAUUUGAGUCUCUUUUUUUUUCGCUAACAAACCCAUUUGAGUCGCUCUCUCUUCCUCUCUCAGAUAUGACAGGAAAAACAACAAAGGAGUAGUGAAAUGCUACUUCCCGUGGUUGAUGUUUGGUUACGGACUUGGACUAUUCUUAACAUACUUGGGAGUUGGGACUAUAUAUAUUAUGAACGGACACGGUCAACCUGCACUGCUCUAAUCUAGUGCCUUGCACUGUUCAGGUGACCAAAGAACUAAAUGGCUAAAAGGAGAGGCUAAUCUUAUAUCAACAAUUCGAGAUAACUCAGGUUUUAAUGUGAUUAUGUGAAGAACAGUUUUUUUCUACUCCAAGGUUUUUAGACUUUAGUAACAUCAUAGGCUUUUUAAAAUCGGAUUUUUGUUUUAGAUUUUAAUGUGAAACUUAAAUACAAGUUGACCAGAAAAAAUCUUUAAUACACGUAGGAUAGAGUGGAACGUGAGGUGUUUGAACAUUUUUACAGUGGGUAAUAAAUUAUUUUGGUGCACUAAAAAUAAAUUCAAUAAAAAGUAAUAUAUUUAUGUUUCCAACGGCUAGUAUUUUAUUGGAUUGUGGUAAGCAACGGCACAAUGUUGGGAGUGUUGCAAAAAUGGACAUUGGGAGUGUUGCAAAAAAAAGAAAACUGGGGUCUAUUUAUAUUUGUUAUCAGAGAGGAUGAAUCAAUUAUUUCAUUUCUCUUCCUUCUUCAGAUUAUUUCUCCGAUUACUUGCGACAAAGAAAAGAUUUAGCCGGAGGUGGAGUGCUUCAGCUUUUAGAGAAGAGUUCGUACGGUUUAAUGUUGAUCACAUCAGUGACAACUAACUCCAGUCAUCGGCGGGAUAAAGAGUUGCUUGAAAAGGAGACGAUUUCCAUGGAAACAGAGUCUACACGGACGGUACGUUUCUCUUUUAUUGAAACUUUUUUAAAUAGAAACAAAAUGUUUUUUUUUACUAACCAUGAACUGUUUUGUAAAUUUUGUUUUCACUGCAAUUUUUUUUAAAAAAAACUUUCAAACUUGGGGAAAAUUUCUAUAUUAUUUGGUUGAUAAUGAAAACUUAAUGUGUAAUUUGUGAAAAGUAUUAGGAGUUACAUCCGGUUAGUGAUAGUUAGAGAUUGUAUAUUUCUAACAUCCGGUUAGCGAUUGUAUAUUUCUUUUGUCUUGGCACUUAUGAGCAUUUAGUUCUUCGUAAUCAAUCUCCUAAUGAAGCAAUUUUCCCUCUUGUUUUGUGUGUAGAUUCUUUCUUACUUGCUUUUAUGUUUUUGUUUCCUUUGAUCCUUUUGUUUGUUUUAACUUUUUUCUUGUAUUUGUUUCUUUUAUUGGCUAAGAGACAAAUCUGCUAGUGGAAAGGCGAAUGAUGUUAAUAAUGCAAAGAAGAUCAAAGCUUAUAUGGACAAAGUCUACACGGGUACGUACGCUCCUCUUUUCUCAAACUUUUUUUAAAUAACCAUAAACUGAUUUUGUAAAGUUAUUUUCACUACAAUAUUAAAAAAAAACUUUCAAACUUGGGGGAAAAUGUAUAUAUUAUUUGGUUGAUAAUGAAAACUUAAUGUGUAAUUUGUGAAAAGUAUUAGAAGUAACAUCCGGUCAGUGAUAGUUAGCGAUUGUAUAUUUCUAACAUCCGGUUAGCGAUUGUAUAUUUCUUUUGUCUUGGCACUUAUGAUCAUUUAGUUCUUCGUAAUCAAUCUCCUAAUGAAGCAAUUUUCCCUCUUGUUUUUUUCCUAAAAUCAACAUCACAUUUGCUUUCUUGUUUUGUGUUUCUUACUUGCUUUUAUGUUUAUGAUUCCUUUCAUUUUUCUGCUUCUGUUAACUUUCUUCUUGUGCUUGUUGCUUUUACUGGAUAAGAGAGAAAUCUGCUAGUGGAAAAGCGAAUGAUGUUAAUAAUAUAAAGAGGAUCAAAGCUUAUAUGGACAAGGUUGAGCUAUAGAGCAUUCAAACAUAUGUGUUGAUAGUGUUGGAUGAGCAUCUCUCAUCCCCUCUGCUUCCGAGACCAUCAAUCAUCUUCUUUAGCAAGAUGUAAGCUAUAACAAUGCUCACUUAAAAGAUUACUUACAUGUUUCUGAAGAUUUGUUUGGUUCGUUUUGCAGGAAAGGUAACACUAUUACCGCUAUCUUGCAUAAGAAGCCACUGAUCAUAGUCUUUGAAAGCCUAUGAGGUGUUCUAUCUAUACAUAUAGAGUCUUUAUUGAAUAUUUUCUGUUCUAUCUAAACUUAUCAGUUUUUUCCUUUACAGAUUGUCACUACGGCUGAGGCUAAACUUCCUCCUACACAUCCUGUCAGAUUGGGGUUGGCCUUGAACUUCUCUGUCCUCUACUACGAGAUUAUGAGCUCACCUUAAAGGUUUUUAGAGAUUGUUUAGUUACUAAAAAGUAAACCUUAGAAGACUCAAUAUAUUGUUUUUAAUUCAAAAAAAAUAAUAUAUAUAUAUAUAUAUAUAUAUUAUUUGACCUUGCGGUGAAUAAACAGUGAAAUGUAAAAUGUAGAGUUCCUUUGUUUCAUGUAUCAUUAUUAUUGUGUAUGCUGUACUCUGCUUUGACCGUUUGAGUGUUUUGCAUCAUCCUGAUGCAUGUCUCAGACACUGUUUUUCUUGUUUGUAAUUUGAAACUCAUUGCUGUCUUUUGUCCACCCAAUUGCUCUACUUUCAGACCAUUUGUCAUGGAUCCAAAUAUAAAGUGAUAAUCAAGCUUGCAUUUCUUGAAAUCUUCUGAACAAUUUACUCAUUUAGCAAGCAGAGUCAAACUCCAAAAGAACAUGUUAAAAAAAUAAGAGAAAUAUGAAUAAUUUGUUGAACGAUGAUGAUGAUGAUGAUUAUGGUGAUGGUGGGCCUUUUUAUAUUUAAGCGAAUGAUGAUGAUGAUGAUAUGAGAGGAAGUGCUUUCAAAGAUUAUAAGCACUGUGAUUACAGAUUAGACAAGGGAUUAAGCAUUGUGAUUAGAGAUUACCUCAUUACUUGUCAAAGUUCCACGUAAAUAAAGAAUAGGACCCAAAUACAUUAUUUGAAACAGCAAGUUACGAAAGAUUAUGUGCCAGUUACAACAACAAGAGCAUACAAUGCCGCCACAAAGAAAUAUUGUUUCCUUGUGCUCAAAAUAAUCGACCGAGAAAGUACUUCUAUAAGAUUUCUAGUAACAAAGUUCUUGGUGCAAAAACAUAUGAUUGAUUUGACUCUUAUGUAUCUUCAUUUGAAAAUGAUACUGCUUAUGUUAUCUUCAUUUGAAAACGCUAUUUACCACCGAUCAUUGCAGCUACAAACUCCGUCUUUGAAGAGAUGGAACCGAUUAGCAUCCCUCACUAAUAUCUCACGCCCUACUAUCUUCGAUAUCAGCUUCGUGACUUCAUGACAAUCACCACAGACACGAAGGUUCUUCAUCACUUGCAGUGGAGUCCCUGGUUCUGUGUUCAACAGUCCAAACGCUAUCGCUAGCCUCUCGCUGUGACCAUACUAAACGUCUCUUCUCUUCCUCUUCCUCUAGAUUCUGCGACACUUCCCGUGGAUCAGAAACAUACCCUUCUCUAGCCAUCAGACUGUAUAGCAUCUCCAACGACUCGUGUAUGGCUUCGAACUGAGGAGCUGAAACAUCUCCUGCGCGGAACAGAUGAACUUUUUUACUCACUUCAAUCCAGCUAUAUCCAGGGUUCUUCUUUCUUUCUUUGUCUUUCAAGGAUUUGCGGAUUAGGCACACUUUGUCCCACUUUUACGCGUUUGAUGCUAGAAUAGAGUAGCCUGGAUCAUCCGGGUUCAGUUCAACGAUCUUCUUAGACACUCUUUCCGCAGUCUCCAUGUCCCCGCUUGUUCGACAAGCUCUCAGCAGAUAUGCCCAUAUGCUAGCAUCAGGUUUUACCGGCAUUGCUUGAAUAUACUCCUCGGCUUUCGAAAUCUUCUGAGACCUGGACAGCAAAUCUACCACUUGGUGUUCAAGAUUUUUAUUUUUCUUUACAUUUUAAGAUUCUUUAUUAGUUUCAACUUCCAAGUUUUUUUUUUCCUAAUUUCUCUUGGUUUCAUCAAAUAAUCAUCAAACAUUACAAGAAUACAAUUAAAUUCUGACAUAAGAAAAUGUGUAGACGUAUUUAAAGAAUCUAUCAGUCAUAACUUCUUACAGCCAUCAUAAAUAUGUGUUGACUAUGAAGAUGUAUAGGGUCACUUUCUCAUCCACUGGAAUCGCCACCUCCAUUUUUGGUGUUCCUUAGCAGAUCUUUUUUUUUUCAUAUUUUCUCAAUUUUGAAUAAAGAAGAAUCAUGUUUAUUGUAUUAUUUUUAUUUACUAUGUUAUACCAUGUUUAUAUUCUCCUAUUAUUCUAAAAUAUAUCUGAUCAUUGGAUUUGAAUUUUAAUUUUUAUGAUUUUGAUCAAAAUGAUAGUAAACAACUUCUGGAGCCAAAAGCUAACAGAUUGAAAUUCAAUUCCUAAGAAACAACUACAGCAACAAGGCUAUCUUAAUUAAACCAGAAAACAUAUCAAAGACUAAAAAUUAACACAAGGGGCGAAGGCAGACUGAUAGAUGUGGGGGCAUGUACACCCAUAACAAUUUUACUAUUUAUAAAUUAUAUACAAAAUCAUUAAAACUUUGGUGUAAGAGAUGACAAAAUUCCACCUGUGCACUCGUAAUAAUUCAAGUUUGAUGCUUUAUUAUAUUUUUUGUUAUAUAUUUUUAGCACUAGUGCACCCAUUACAUUUAUAUUCGAGCUUCGCCAACUCCCCAAGAUUAGAGAUGCCAACAAGUAGAAGAGGUGGAGACAAUGUCGAAAUGUACUGUGGCUGAGGCCUGAAACUCAUUAUAUUUCUCCAACAACUAAGAGGAGCCACGAGCAGUCCGUAUGGAUACAAACAAGGGACACGAGGAUAAGAACCUGAUUUGACCUAGCGUCUACUACGACACGGAGCAAGGAGAACUGAAGCUCUGAAUCAUGUGACUUUAGCCGGAGAAUCUGAGCGAAGGCAAAG
rnacentral:lncRNA from 1 species